UUACAAUGGAGAGUUUGAUCCUGGCUCAGGAUGAACGCUAGCGGCAGGCCUAAUACAUGCAAGUCGAACGGGAUCCACCAGCUUGCU
rnacentral:rRNA from 1 species